AGCCCCGUAGUGUAGUGGUCAAUCAUGGGAGGCUCUGGACCUCUCGACGGCAGUUCGAAUCUGCCCGGGGCUA
rnacentral:tRNA from 1 species